UACGAAGGGGGCGAGCGUUGUUCGGAAUUACUGGGCGUAAAGGGCGCGUAGGCGGCGACUCAAGUUAGAUGUGAAAGUCCUGGGCUUAACCCGGGGACUGCAUUUGAUACUGGGUUGCUUGAAUUCGGGAGAGGAUAGCGGAAUUCCAAGUGUAGAGGUGAAAUUCGUAGAUAUUGGGAAGAACACCGGUGGCGAAGGCGGCUAUCUGGACCGACAUUGACGCUGAGGCGCGAAAGCGUGGGGAGCAAACAGG
rnacentral:rRNA from 1 species